GGCUCACAGAAGCACCUGGUGGGCCUGCCACCGUGCUUAGCUAGGGUGGCCUGCCCACCACCAAGGGUAUGCUACAAUCCCUGAGGAAGAGAAAGGAGUCAUGAGAACCCCAAGUGCACCGAUGCCUCCCGGACUUCUGGAGAAGCCCUGCAGGCCUGAGAAGAAAGCUGGAAGCCGGAAGCCGAGCAUUUGGGCUGGAGGCAGAGCACGACUACUAACAAACCUCAACCAACCUCAACUCUUGGAACCCAAGCCUGUAUAUACCCUUGGAAAAGUUCCCAGAAUUCCAAACAUCACACGGUCACAGAAUCUAUCUGCAGCUGGCAAAACCACGCCCCUGCCAGAGCUCCAGGAUGUGGGUGGCGAGUGAGAAACGGGAGCUAAGAGCUUGAUCUCACAGAGACAGACCUGCCUCCUGUUCGUCUGUUGCUGAAUCAUGUACCACAGUGCAGGACCUGGUUCCCAGCCCGUCCUCACCCAUUGUCUAACACAGACUCCAGCUCCCGUUCUGAAAGACUCCCCUGGGAACCCUCUUCCCUAGUGGAGCCCUCACUGGCACUGAGAGUCCUGUCCUCGCCGUCAUCAGGGUGACCUGCAUUUUCAGGGGAAUUCUGCCACAUUCUCUAAAUCCUCUUUCAGGACCGAUGCUCACCUCACUGCUGUGCAAAUGACACGGGUACCCAGCACCCGAUUCUCUAGCCUAGCACACCUCGUCUACCCCAGCUCUGCCCAUUUGCACGGUGCAGUCUCCAGAUGGAGCCCCAUUCUCCAAGAGCCACAGCGUCUUGAAGCAUCA
rnacentral:lncRNA from 1 species